UUACUUUGAAACACCGGGUCCCGAACGAUCACCGAAGUUAAGCAACGUCGAGCCCGGUCAGUACCUGGAAGGGUGACCGCAUGGGGAUAAUCAAUGCUGUAA